rnacentral:tRNA from 1 species
UCCUUGAUGGCUCAGUUGGUAAAGAAUCCACCUGAAAUGUGGGAGACCUGGGUUAAAUUCCUGGGUUGGGAA